rnacentral:piRNA from 1 species
UGACAGCAUAGACAAACAUGUGAUGCCGC